AGAGUUUGAUCAUGGCUCAGGACGAACGCUGGCGGUGUGCUUCACACAUGCAAGUCGAACGAGGUAGCAAUACCUAGUGGCGGACGGGUGAGUAACGCGUGGGAAUCUGCCUUGAGAUGGGGGAUAACGAGCCGAAAGGCUCGCUAAUACCGCAUAUGCCGAAAGGUGAAAGGAGUAAUCCGUCUUAAGAUGAGCCCGCGUCCGAUUAGCUAGUUGGUGGGGUAAAGGCCUACCAAGGCGACGAUCGGUAGCUGGCCUGAGAGGAUGAUCAGCCACAAUGGGACUGGGACACGGCCCAUACUCCUACGGGAGGCAGCAGUGGGGAAUUUUACGCAAUGGGGAAACCCUGACGUAGCGACACCGCGUGAGCGAAGAAGCCCUUUGGGGUGUAAAGCUCUGUCAGCUGGAACGAAAAAAUGACGGUACCAGCAGAGGAAGCAUCGGCUAACUACGUG
rnacentral:rRNA from 1 species